UGAGAAACGUGAUAUUCUCCACCUGAGUCUCUUUUUCCUUUUCAAGUAACGAACACUUCUCGAUUAAAGAAUUAUAGGCCUUUGUCAAACCAUCUCUCUCUUAUUCUAAGUCCUUUGUUAGUGAGGCCAAUUUUGAAUUUUCUUGUUCCAACUCAUGUAGACUUCGCCGCAGUCUCUUGUUAUGUUUAGCCACCUUCUUUGAUUCGACAACCAAUUGUUGAUAUGCUGCGACCAUGUCAUCUUCGUCCGAUUCUUCAUCUGAUGAGUUCUCCGAAGAUGACUUCUCAU
rnacentral:lncRNA from 1 species